CUUGGCUCCCUUAAUGAUGUAAUAAUAGCUCACAGGUGCGCUGCGGGGAGCAAACAGGUACGUGGUGAGCGUCCACACAGACAAAAGGCGGCUCAUCACGCUGGAGGGUUUAAGACCCGCCCUGCUGCCUCGGGACCUUCUAAAAGUGAGCAGAGGGGGAGCAGAGGUGUCCAGAACAGUAAGCAACGCCCCUCUGGCCAGCCAGUGGCUGUCGGACCGGCUGCGUCCCCAGGCCCGCCCCCCCCCCGCGUUGCCAUGGUGACAGUGGCGUUCCCAGGCUGCGCUCCCUUCCUGCUGGCUCUGGACAGGAGGGUUUGUCAGGCUGUGUCUCCUGUGGCUGCUGGACGGGCGCAGAAGAAAGGGGGCCCUGAGAGCCGAACAGGGAGCUGACCAUCCGGACUGCCAGGCUGGCUCCUGACCACCCCCGGUGCCCACAGGGAGGAGGCCGGUGGUGUCCUGCUCCUGGGUGACCCUCUGGGGCCUCCUCCAGGAAGCCGUCCUGUGGGCAGAGUGCCACGGGGAACCUUGGCUCUGCCUGUUGGUGUUUGUCAUGAUCUUGCUCUCCAGGGGAUGGUGGUAGACACUUGUGUCAGAACCGUUUGAAAGAAGACUUGCUGACCUCACAGUGGAGCACUUGGCGGCCAGGCCCUUCACCCGUGGUCGUGAGGGUGUCAUGGCAGGUCCUGCCCCGCCUUGGGCAGGUGCCCCUGCAGUUGUUUUGUGUGUACAGAUGAUCCCUGGUUCCUGCGCCUUCACCAGCUUCUCCACCAACAGCCAGCUCUGUGUGAAGCUGGCAGAGUGCCAUCAACAGCCAGAUUCCACGGGUGUCGGUCUGGGCUGCCACACGGUGUUCAGUAAAUAUUGAAUUUCAGCGUCAUCUGUGCCCAGAAUUCUGCUGAAAGACAGCAGAGAGAAUUAGGUUCUCUCGAUAAGUUUUUU
rnacentral:lncRNA from 1 species